UACGAAGGGGACUAGCGUUGUCCGGAUUUACUGGGCGUAAAGCGCGCGUAGGCGGAUCGCUAAGUCAGGGGUGAAAUCCCAGGGCUCAACCCUGGAACUGCCUUUGAUACUGACGAUCUGGAGAUCGGGAGAGGUUGGUGGAAUUCCGAGUGUAGAGGUGAAAUUCGUAGAUAUUCGGAGGAACACCAGAAGCGAAGGCGGCCAACUGGCCCGAUACUGACGCUGAGGCGCGAAAGCGUGGGGAGCAAACAGG
rnacentral:rRNA from 1 species